GAUCUCAAGUUUUCUCAGUCCCUUGUUUGGGCUGAGAAACACCUUGCGAGGUUUCUGAGCAUCCUGCCAGCUGCGAAGUUUUCCGGAAGCAAACUAAAGUCACGCAAGCUGCAGGUGCCUUGCCGAACUUUGGCUGCAGGAAGCACCUUCCAAACAACUCCACGGAGCCCGGGCCCUCCGAGGCCGUCGCAGCGCGGCGCCAGCCCGCAGGUGCCGCCCGCGGGCACCCGCACGCUCCUCGCGGGUGCUCCCUCCCACGGGGCCACAAACGCCACUCCGGAAAGCGGGAGGCGCACGCAGGCCGCAGGGCGAGUACCCUGCUGCGGGGGGGGCACAGGCCGGGGGUGGCCGCAGGUGGCUUUCCGCGCCCGCCGCCGGGCAGCCCGCGGGGUCUGCAGGGCCGGCGGGACACGGAGCGGCCACACCACGCGGCCCAAACCACCCCGACACGGCAGCUCACAGCCCGGAGCGCUGGGUGCGGAUAGGUGGCCCGGGACCACCGCGCGCGGCCGACUCUGGCCGGCGGAGCGCACCGGGCCCGCUCUCCGCCCGUCGGGGAACAGCCGCCGGCCAGCGCCCCCUCCGCCCCGCAGGCCGCGUUCCCGCCGCGGGGCAGGGCGGGGCCCGCCGCGCCUGCGCACUCGCCCUCCGCGCCGCCCGUGCGUCUCCCGGAGCACGCCGCACCACGUGACCGCCGCCAGUACCCAAGAUGGAGGCCGCGGCCAGGCCCGAGCGGCCGCCUGUCUCAGCCCGCGCCCAAGAGUGCGCUCGCUAGGCGCGCAGUCCCGAUCACUAGGCCGGCACAGGACAGCUCUUCGGGGCUGCCGAGUGGGGCUCGCCAGGACCAGGGCCCACGUUUACAAUCACAAGCCGCCCGGCUCCCUGCGCUUUCUCAACCGCGAAGCGCCCAGCGACUGGCGCCUGGAGCGUCCUUUGGUAGCCACGCCCCCCAGGAUUGGCAAUUCGAGCAGCCAACGGGGUCCAGGACGUGUGCGGGAAGGCGGGCAGAGGUGGAGCAACCCUGCCGUUUGUGCGGCGUCUGGCCUAGCGGUUGGCCGCCGCGGGACGAGGGGCGGGAGCACACGGGGCGGUACCCGGGGCCCCAGUGGACCAAUGGAAGGACGGCCGGGCGGCCGGGGAGGGCGGUCGGCGGGCGGGGCCGAACCGUAA
rnacentral:lncRNA from 1 species